GAAAUAAUAUAUGUAAAAUCUGUACUCAGUACAGAAAAUAUUGGUUCUCUCCUUUUCUUCCCUCCUCCUCCCAGGGGGGGAACCGCUCUCAUCUAAACUCAGUGCAGCUCCCCCAGCUGUUCCCUGAGAUCCUGGUUUCGAGCCUCCACCUGGUCCCCAGCCCCAAAACUAGGAGCCCAGCCUCCCUCCACCCUCAGCAACUCUCUGCUCCUUUCCUGUGAGCUGUCAGUGCCUGGCCAGGCCACUGCACCCUCACCUGGUACAUGCCGGAUGCUGCUCUGCUGCUGGUCCAGCCCUGGUGUCACACUGGCUGACAGAAAAUACUCCUCUGGUAACCAAGGACUCAGGACAUAAACAACAGGAACCAGGGAUCACCCAGAGUGCAGAGUGAGGAGGAAUCCCUCGAAGGUUUUAUGGCAAAGUGGCCCCAAAGCAGAGGAAGGAUGAGGUCGGGGGCAUGCUGGAGAAUGGGAGAGAAGCCGCUCUGGUGAGGAAACUAAGACGCCAAAGAAAUUUAGCAACCUCCCCGGGGUUGCACAGCUAGGAAGAGGCAGAGCCAGUUUUCCACUCCAGCCUGACCAACUCCACAUCUGAGCUCCUGGCGUGGAGGCACCACACUGUGCUGACCCCUGGUCAACUGCAUGUGAAAGGGAAGCCCCCUCAGUAAGUGUUUUCCCACUCACCCGGGCUGGAGCUGGGAUAGCUCUCACCUGCCCACUCAGGCGUCCUGCCCUGCUGGCUGGGGUCCACUGCUCCAGCUCCCUAUUCCCCAGUCUUUGGUCUGGCAUGUGGCCCCCAGGAUGGCUUCUGCUGUUCCGGAGAAGACCCUAACCCCAGAAAAGCCUCUGAGGGGGCAGUACUCUUCCAGAAGAGCUGGAUCCCUAUGGGUCUCCCCCAAACCAAUCAGAGCCUCAGAGCCUGACAUUGGCCCAGCUCCCCUGAUCUUGGCCCCCAUCCAGGAGGGGUGCCCGAAAGAGCUGGAAGGGACCCCAGCUACUUGUUUCAUUUGCUGAUGCUGCAAAAGGACCCACAUUUGUUGCCCAGGAUGUUGCCCUUAGGAGAGGCCUUUGGGGGGUCCCCCUACCUCUGUACCGGGACCUCCUCUGAGGAAGCCCCAAAAGGCAGAGGGAGGGCCCCUCCAAGCACAAGUCUCCCCCAGGGUUGGCCUUUCCCCCCGUGAUGAUCAGGCCUGACCCGGGAACCUGUGCUCUGAGCCACACGCCCCCUGCGUCCUCCCGUUUGCUCAGGCUCUGCCCUUAUCUCAGUGGCAUCUCUGUGGAACUCCUUGGGGUGACUCCCUGCCAUGAGAAACAUUUUCCAGAGGGUUUUCCUCCUGGGGUGACUAGUUUUGGAAUCCCUGAGUCACGUCGGCUUCCACAGAAUCCCUGGGGGUGUGGGGAGACGGGGGUGGCGAAGGGGACAAUGGUGGAGGCAGAAGCAAAGGAAAGUUCGCCCAGCACCUGACAUCAAGGGUGCCUUCCACUGUGAGCUCAUCUGCCCGGCCCGACCUGGCAACCAGAGGGGACCUGCUGGGAGUCCCACCCCGGAGUGCUGGGAGGAGCGCCGUGCACCUGGCAGGAAAGGGCAGGGAAGAUGUAGGGGUGGAAAACACUCCCACCUGCGACCAGGAAAGGCUCAAGGGGCUUGCAGGAAGCGAGAAUAUGGCGGUCCUGCCCUUUCUCAGAAGGACAUUCAAAUCCCCACCUGCUGCCAGGAAGUCCUGACCCUGCCUCUGAUCAGCUCUUGACCGUGGGCCCUCUCUGGUCCUCUUUCCUCAUUUAUAGAAGUGUGUAUGUGCUUUUUGGGGGGCAAGUGGGGUAAUCCAGACGAAAACAAAAGCACCAACCAGCUUAGCUGCUCUGGACCUCAGCUCCUGAGGUAGAGCUGAAACCACAGGCCUCAGCAGGGUCUGCUGAAGCUCAUCACACUCACCCGAUGUGAGGUGGGGGCACCGGUGGUUAAAAUGCCGCCAUACUUCCACCUCUGCUGGUACAUUGAUGCUGUCCUCAGUCCUGGGGCAACCCCAUCACAACCUCCCUGUGAUCCAGCAACUAAAGGGUGAAUGCCCCGCCCAGAUGGGGGCCUCCAGAACACUGCUCCCAUGCCCCAGGAUUGGUGGGUGAACAUGGUACUGGUUGCUAGUUACCUGUAGUAUCCCCUUUAGUUACAAAGAUGCUGAGGCUCAGAAGCCUACCUUCAAAGAGAACCCAGGCUGGCCUGGGAAACUCCCAGAGAAUCAGAGUGAACAGGACAAGAAGCCCCACGACUCCCUCCCCCACCAUGUGCCCCGUGCCUCCCCACCGAGAGCCCUCGGCUUACUCAGCUUCGUCCUCCAGUCACAGCAGCCCUGUCCAUUAAUUCAUUCACCAAAUAUUUAUGGAGUACCUACUAACACACCAGGCACUAUUCUAAAACCUGGGAAUGCAGAGGAUGGCGAGAGCCAGAUAAGGUCUUUGCCUUGUGAAGCUUACAUUUUAGGAGAAGACAGAUGAUAAACAUGGAAACAAGACAAUUUCCGAUAAUAAUAAGUGGUAUGAAGAAAAUGAAACAGUGUUAGGAGAUAAGCAGUUAUGAGGGGGAGGGAGAGGACGGAGGGGCUGCUUUAACUUGGAGAGCCAGGGAAGGCCUUCCUGAGGAUGCAGAAUUUGACGUUUGAGGGAAAAGGGAAGAGUGGUCCAGGCCGAGCGAGCAGGGCACGUAGAGUCCUGGAGGUGGGGAAGAGCUCCACGUAUUUGAGAAACAGAAAGGACAGUGGGGAUGGAGAGCAAAGACUAAGGGGAAAGCAGGAUGAGAUGAGAUGAAGAGGUGGGCAGGGCCAGAUCACAUAGGAUCCUAGAGGCUGCGGUGGAGCAUUUGGUUGUUAUUCCAAAGUCAGUGGGAAGGUAUUGACCAGAAUCAAGCACGAUCUCCAUGAUGUGAGUUCUUCGAGGGCGGGCACCCUCGCCUCAACAUUCUGCUGCCUGCACAGCGCUGGCAUCAAAUAACAAUCCUGACAGUUGCUUUGAUCCAACAUCUGCUCAUCAUGGGCCAGGCACCUUCUCAGGAUUCUCUGAACCCUCACAACAAGCUCACGCGGUCGGUUCCAUAGUUGUCCCACUUCACAGACAGGGAAGCAGGGGCUCCAAGAGGUCAUGGAGCCUGCAAGGUCACUGGCUAGUGACGGAAUCAGGAUUAGAACCCAGGCACUCCCAGUUCUAGAGGAGAACUGGGAGAAUCUGUGAGCACCUGAGACAUUCUGAUUAGCAGGAGAGACCAGAACAGGUCAAGGAAGGCACAGGGGGAAGAGGAAGAGACCAGCCAGUGGACACUGCUGGGAAGGGGAAAGAAGCCUGGGACCCAGAAAGCCAGAUGGAGGGGUUCCUUUCCUUUCUACCCCUUGAGUACGUUAGGGGCAAGACCCAAAGCUGAGGGCCUGGCUGCCUGGGGCUGCCACCCACCCACAGUCUUAGUGACUGGCCCACCCUGGCUUUUUCCCAACCUUGCCUAGAGCCCAGAACUCUCCCUGAACAGGUUAGAAUCACCUUUAACUCCUCUGAAGGAGAGGGCAGAGAUGAAGCAUAAGGACAGGGAAAAGGCUCCUCCUGCCCUGGACAAAGAAACAUUGUCAGCUUUCAUGAAAGCACAAUUAGGGGGAGUUGGGGGUGGAGCCAAGGUGAAGAUGAAAAGACAGGAGGGCAUCACUGUGCUGGGCACUCCUCACCGAAGUGACUGUUAGAGAUGAGGAAUCAGACUCAGCUGUUAUAUAACUUGUCCAAGGUCACCCAGCUAAUAAACCAGGAUUCACUCCCCAGUCCGACUAGCUCCAUUCCAUGUGUGGGCAUGCCAGCAGCACAGUCUUGUCUUCCGUCAGGUUUGCUCUCUGCUCCCCCCACUACCUUUCUCCAGGCACUGAGCUCUGAGCAGGGAGCCCCAUCACCCACCUCCCAAACCACCAUUUUACCUGCUCCCAGCAAUUAUUUCCUGCUAAGCCUUUUCUGGCCUCCAUCUAUUCCCCCUGGUGCCAGUCAGAGCGUUCAUCUUUGGGAACUGGGUUUCCCGCCCACCUCCAUCUUGGACCCCAGUGUGCCUUGGCAGUCCCCUGGGCAGAGAUCAUAUCAAGUCACUUUCCAGCAGCUGAAUGUCUGUCUUGCAGGAAGCCAGGCCUGCCAGGGCUGGGGUCUGAAGGAGGUUGGACCAGGGUGGAGCUGGAAUGGGGAAGCUCUCCCUUCAGACGCAUCUGGAAAUUUAAAAGUUCCUCUACGUCCUAAGGGAGCCUAGGUCUGUACAGGAUUCCCAGCCCCACGCCCAUGUCUGCACCCCAUCUCUGAGCCAAGCCCAGAACCAAUAUUGUCCAUCCCCAUGUUCACCCCAGAAUCGCUCUCUAUUCCACCCAUAAAUUCCACCCUUCCCCUUUGCAGAGGGCUCUUAUAGGUGCCCAGGCAGCAGGGAGGGGAAGGCUCAAGGACAGGUGUUCCCCCUCCCCUCCUGGAAAUGCCUAGAUUAUAGGCCUGUGGAAUGUGGGGAGGGAGGAGGGGAGCAUGUGCCCAAGGCCCCAGGUUCACAAAGGGGCUUAAAUUAGACUUCUGAUGUUAUCUCCAAAUGACGUUAUACAUGGAGUCCUUGUCUGUUUCAUGUGUUUGAAAUGUUAAUUUGUUCUAUGUAAACACUGAAAAUACACUACAGCUUUUCAAUCCUGUUUGGCCUCUCACUUUUAAACACCAGGAACCUCAAAAACGGAAGAAGGAAGGCUUCCCUAGAGCCUCUGGAGGCCUUGAUGUGUGCCCCCAAAGGAAGAGCCAGGGGGAGGGGUAGCUGGAGGCAGGCAGCGCGCACUAAGAAGUUAAGAGCGCAGGAAAGUCGUGUGACCCGAGAUCGCCUGUCCUUCCAGCUGAAACUCCUGAGUGCAGAUCCAGCUCCGCUGAAAGAGUCCUGCCCUGAUGGGCCCACAGUCCCCACUCCUGCUCGUGACAGCAGAAGUGAGCCAGAGCCAGGGCAGGGGACAGGCCCAGACUGGCAGAGGAGUGUAAGAGGCGGCACAACCCGCCCGCCCGCAGCUCUGGGACGCUCAGGCUUCACCUUCUCUCGCCAGGGCCAGAGUCCCCGCCCAGCCCCAGACCCCCGGCCUGUCCCCGGCAGGAACGGCCAGGCUAACCCUGCCACCCCUGCAGAGACAACGCUAAGGGAGAAAAGAGGCUCCGCUGAGGACCCCAGAAAGGCGGGAGGAGCGCGCUCCCUCCCACGGGAAAGACAGAUGUGGGGCUAAUAAAAGGGAGGCAGAAAGAGGCGCGGGGCUGCGGGGGCGCGGCAGGGGACAGGAGCUCCCAGUAGGGAGAGGAUCGGAUCGCGGGGAGGUCCGCCGCGCCGUCGGGAGGAAGAAGGCGCCGGGGAGAGGGGCCGGGAGGGGACGCGCAGUUUGGCCCGAGGGUCCCGAGCUGAAACUCAACACCCGCCUUCGGAGGGAUCGUCCUCCUUUCUCCUCCGCCCCUUCCCUCCCCUCCCUUUUCCCCUCCCUCCUUUCUUAAUCCCCAGGACCGAGCCCCGCGCCAGAGCGGAGAGGGCCCGGGGGAGGAGAAAGGAACCGCACUGAGAGGGAGCGGGAGCGCGGGUGC